AGGACUUUCAUUAAACCACACGCAGCAGCAGAGAGUUGACAAGCUGCAUAAAAAGAAACAGGUGCUAGCUGCACAAGCUUUGUAUGCACACGAGUCCGCGUUCACUCGCCCAGGACCUCCAAAGUGGCAGGCGGCCACGAGUUUUCACGGCAUUCGAAGGCAUUUCACAGAAAAGCAAUAAAGUGCCCGUCUUUGAGAAUCCGUGCCCUGUGAUGUCAUUUUGGAAGCUACAGUGAAAACUCGCCCAGCCCAGCGCCGGUGAGAAGCUCAUUAAGACGACGACGCCAGCUGCGGUAAAAGACGGUGACCUGGCGGUAUACCACAGUGCGAUGCUGAAGUACACCCAAAAGAGGCUCCACUUUGUCUAUAACUCCAUGAAGGCAAGGACACUGAUGUCUGUUAUGGACCACAAUGAAAAUGUCGGGCGCCAGCAACAGAGGAACGCCGAUGGCACUUUGAAAUACAGCUUGGAGUUUCCAAAGCGAACAAAAAGAUGGGUUGCCCGGAGCUGUUACGAGCCAACAACGCAGACAUUCAGAGAGAAUUUGGUGGAUCGUGUCCUGGAAAGACGGCAGGAUUCAUCAUUGAAGUUUGCUGAGCCAGACUUCUUUUUCAAGCCUCCAACUACUAUUCCACCGAACGUUGCAAACAUCGAAAGGCCUGACAAAGAAAAAGUUAAUUUUACAACAUGUCAGUCGAUUUAAAAAAUAAUUAGGCAGACAUUUUCCUUUUUUUUUUUUUUUUUUUUUUAAUAUUUUAGAAUGUAGAUAUUUUUGAA